rnacentral:rRNA from 1 species
AUUGAACGCUGGCGGCAUGCCUUACACAUGCAAGUCGAACGGCAGCACGGGGCAACCUGGUGGCGAGUGGCGAACGGGUGAGUAAUGCAUCGGAACGUACCUUUCAGUGGGGGAUAACGUAGCGAAAGUUACGCUAAUACCGCAUAUUCUGUGAGCAGGAAAGCAGGGGAUCGCAAGACCUUGCGCUUAUUGAGCGGCCGAUGUCAGAUUAGCUAGUUGGUGAGGGAAAGGCUCACCAAGGCGACGAUCUGUAGCGGGUCUGAGCGGAUGAUCCGCCACACUGGAACUGAGACACGGUCCAGACUCCUACGGGAGGCAGCAGUGGGGAAUUUUGGACAAUGGGGGCAACCCUGAUCCAGCCAUGCCGCGUGAGUGAAGAAGGCCUUCGGGUUGUAAAGCUCUUUCGGCCGGGAAGAAAUCGCACGGGCUAAUACCCUGUGUGGAUGACGGUACCGGAAUAAGAAGCACCGGCUAACUACGUGCCAGCCGCCGCAGUAAUAC